AGAAAAAGGAAAAAGAACCAGGUGCUACCAUUUCUCCAAAUAGAAUUUUCCGGAGAUUGUGUGCCUUCUUUCAGGUUCUACAGAUGUUACAGCAUAAAAGACAAUGGAUGACAAUGUCAAUCUCCCUGUGCUGGAUGACUGUAAAAACAACUCCUGAUCCAAUUAAAAUGACAUGUUACAUUUCUAAGGGAACUGCUCAGGAAUAAUGUCAGCUCUGUCUAGAAUAACUACUGCUCUCUGGAUUUCUGUUUCCCAACUGUAAAUGAUAAUACAAUAAACAUUCACUAUGCAUCAAUAUA